rnacentral:rRNA from 1 species
UACAGAGGGGGCUAGCGUUAUUCGGAAUUAUUGGGCGUAAAGGGUGCGUAGGCGGCGCGGUAAGUCGGGUGUGAAAUCUUGGAGCUUAACUCCGAAACUGCAUUCGAUACUGCCGUGCUUGAGGACUGGAGAGGAGACUGGAAUUUACGGUGUAGCGGUGAAAUGCGUAGAUAUCGUAAGGAAGACCAGUGGCGAAGGCGGGUCUCUGGACAGUUCCUGACGCUGAGGCACGAAGGCCAGGGAGCAAACGGG